UAGACUCAAUCAUGUCUUACAAGAACGUGCCUCAUUCAAUAAUAGUAACAUCCAUCAGCCAUUUGGCCAACAAAAAAUUACAAGCAAUUGCUCAAAAGAAGAAAAAAUACAUCCUAUAAACCAUACAUUUCUACUCCUUUCUUAACCUUAUAGCAGUAUAUAAGUAUAGAUGCUCCAUUCCCCAUUUAUAACAUCGUUCGAGGGGAAUAAGCAACGAUGAAUUGAUCCGUUAUUCAACCGAAAGAUUUCCAUUAUAGCACGCGAAUUGCAACCAGUCAGGAACUAGAUGCAGUGCUUUGAGCUAAAAUCUUUAUCAGACAACAAACUAGAAAUAAGACUUUUCAUUCUCUGUGCACCUGGUCCAGGUCUCAGUGAAGUUAUGUUUCUUAGAAUGUACUGUGAGAUUGUAGCGUUGGAAUCCCCGCCAUCAAACCAACUACCAGGAACAAAACCAUCGACUUUGCGCCCCAAGAGCUCAGAAUCAAUCUUGUCAAGCACUGGUUCAUUCCUGCGGAAUUUUCUGGCGAAUGAUGCAUUGCUG
rnacentral:misc_RNA from 1 species